rnacentral:sRNA from 1 species
AUGGCUCUUUUUAAGACUGAAAUUCAACUGUACUUUGAUUUGGGUCUCUCCCACAAGGAAAUGCUUUUGAUGUUAGCACACUAUGAGGGAGUUAUUAUUAGUGAACGACAUCUUAGUAGAAUUUUACGAGGAAUGAAACUAUAUCGACGAAAACAUUACACAGAUCUUUUGAACAUCGCUUUGUUUAUUGAAAAUGAAUUAUCAAAGUCUGGCCAAGUACAUGGAUAUAGAUGGAUGCACAUGAAAUGUCAACAAAACGGGUUGGUUGUCAACAGAGAAACGGUUAGAAUUUUGCAACAGAUUCUCGAUCCAAAUGGUGUGGAACGUCGCUCAAAACGACGAUUAAAAAGGAGACAAUAUAGUGCUAUCGAACUAGUAGUGAUCCAACAAUCAUUGCUGGAUAUUUCAUUAAUGCUAUUGAUGCCAGGAAAGGAUGCCCAAAGCGUAUCCGAGGUGACAGAGGAACAGAAAAUGGACAUGUAG